ACACCCCAGUCCCACAUCGAGAAGUGUGUGGACUUUAGUUCAGUUUAUAAGCAUAAGUACUACUACCAAUUGUACCAACAAAUCAUGAUCUUUUGGGGGCCUGUGGUGGGCUUGUGGAUUACCCAAGUUGUUGCAAUUGGGCCAGUAUAUUUGGGCUUAUUUUCGGAUUCGGAUUUCGGGACUUGACCCGAUUUUCGAAAAAGACUCGGGAUUUGACCCGGGUUGUUUCAUAUGGUAUUCAGAGCAGGCUCUCGAAAGCUUGAUUCGUCAAGUUGCCGGAGGCGGGGACACGAAGCCAGCCGGUAUUAUCCCACAAUGGCUAGAGAGGUUCGAUCUGGGCCUAUGGGCUAUCCGUUUCGGCCUGACGAGGACGUCAGGAAUUUAAGUGGGAGAGUUUGUAACACCCCAGUCCCACAUCGAGAAGUGUGUGGACUUUAGUUCAGUUUAUAAGCAUAAGUACUACUACCAAUUGUACCAACAAAUCAUGAUCUUUUGGGGGCCUGUGGUGGGCUUGUGGAUUACCCAAGUUGUUGCAAUUGGGCCAGUAUAUUUGGGCUUAUUUUCGGAUUCGGAUUUCGGGACUUGAC